UCUUCUGCCACUGUCGGGUAUGUAAAGACUGUAUUUUGCUAGAGAAAUCGUAGUUCUUAGGUGUUGUGAUGGAGACAGUAGACCCAUCGGCCGUGAGCCUCCGUCCCUUCAGGAUAUCCGACGCCGACGACUUCCUUUCAUUCGCAGGUGACGACCAGGUCACGAGGUUCCUGAGAUGGAAGACGCUGGCCUCGAGAGAGGAGGCCCUGGCCGCCAUCAGGGACGUCUGCAUGCCACACCCUUGGCGCCGCGCCGUGUGCAUCGGGGACCGCUGCGUCGGGUUCAUCUCUGUCUGGCCCGGGUCGGGGGACGACAGUUGCCGGGCGGACUUCGGGUACGGCCUGGCCAGGGAGUGGUGGGGGAAGGGCGUGGCGACCCGAGCGGUGAGACUGGCGCUCUCCCAGGUGUUCGGGGAUUUCCCUGAUGUCUUGAGGAUUCAAGCCUUUGUCGGGGUGGACAACAAGGCUUCCCAGAGGGUGUUGGAGAAGGCCGGGUUCACAAGGGAUGGGUUGCUGAGGAAGUAUGCCUAUUUGAAGGGGACUUUGCAGGAUUUGUACUUGUACAGUUUCUUGUCCACAGACGUCGUCCCUGCAGACAGAUGAGUGCCGCCGAUCCGAUGGCCUUUCGGGUCGAGUCUCGAAGGCGUAUUGAACUAAUAAUAGGCUGAUCUAAAUAAAAUUUUCAAGUCACUAAGUUAGCUAAAUUCAUCAUGUACGAGAAUCAGCUCCAGAAUAGUCAUGUUCAUCGAGAUCUCAAUGUUACUUCUUCAUGGAGUACGAAAUGGAACUGCCAUCAGCUUUAUGCAUAUGAAAGAACUCGUUCGUUU